rnacentral:rRNA from 1 species
GCUCGUAGGCGGCCAACUAAGUCAUACGUGAAAUCCCUCAGCUUAACUGGGGAACUGCGUGUGAUACUGGAUGGCUUGGAUUUGGGAGAGGGAUGCGAAAUUCCAGGUGUAGCGGUGAAAUGCGUAGAUAUCUGGAGGAACACCGGUGGCGAAGGCGGCAUCCUGGACCAAUAUUGACGCUGAGGAGCGAAAGCCAGGGGAGCAAACG